AGCCCAGUGAGAGUCAGCCCUGGGUGGGAACUGGUGGGAAAGAAUUCUGCUGGAGCAUCUGGAGUUGCUCAAAUGGAGUGGCUGUGGCCAUCUUUCCUUACACGUGGGGAGGAAUCAGCCUGAGAAUGAAACCAUCACAGGAAAGGGCUGAAAGACGGUGAGUGUGUGCUUUCUAAGGGCAGCAUUUGGGCCUUGGCCCCAGCCGGCCCUGAAGCCAGCACAACCCCCGGAACGUCUCAAUUUGUGAGCCAAUAAAUGCCCUUGAUGGUUUAGGCAAGUUUUCACUGGGUCUUACCCGACGUGAGCCCCCACUCCUCCAUAUGGACCUGUUUUGGACCAAUGAGGCAUCCUCUUCUGUAGUCCUCAACACGCGGAGCUCCACCACUCCUGAGCAGUGUGACCUCAGGUGCUUGCUGCAGAGGCAUCGGGGGUCUCUGGCCAGAGGUGACAUCUGAAGCAAUCGGGAUCCUGUUUGGUUUUGCCACAUCCGACCUGCCGCCCAGCUGGGGCAAGACAGCCACGCGCGGCGGAUGCACCGGCCCUGAACUCUUUCUCGAGUAGUCCCCAGAGAUUUCAGGAAGAGAGAGAAGAGGUAAAGAGACCAGAAACAAAGUCUUCUGCAAGCAAAGAACUGCAACAGGCCCCAGCUGUUAGGUUUGAGGGGCGUAUGGGGCAGGCGACUGAACUGCAGAGUUGGAGCCAGAGGUACCAUUGCUGACCCCUGAGCCCAGGAGCCUUGAGAAUACUGACAGUGUUAAUAAUAACUGCAAUCAUCCAACAUAUGAUGCUAGAAUAACUGGACAUCUGUGUGCAAAAAUAUUAAACCUAUACCUUGCACCUUAUCACAAAA
ensembl:lncRNA LINC02985 long intergenic non-protein coding RNA 2985